GCCAUUGGAUGGUAUUUCCUCAUGAAGUUUUGCAAGUCAAAGAAGUUUUUCAAGUACAGCAGUGGUGAAGCUGUUGAAGAAUGACAAAGGCCAAAAUACAUGGUUGAAUUGGUCUCACAAGUGAACAAAUAGGGAAACAGUGUUAGUCUCUGUACUCAAGCUUUUCAUCAGCAACGUUGAAGUUGAAAUGAAAAGCACCCGGCACUGAGUUUUCUUAGGAUUAAGAUGCACAAUUUAUUGGGUUUUCUUGUAUCUAAAGGUUUAAGAUCCACAAUUUACUUAGUUCCCAAAAUGCACAAUGUAGUUUGAGUAUUUUUUAUGUCCUCUUGUCC
rnacentral:misc_RNA from 1 species